GGGGAGUUGGGGUUGGGAGAAAUGAAGAGGACGUCUACUAAAGCGAUAGUAUAGCAUCUCUCUCUUACUCUCUCUGUUUCUCGAACACGACGCAGUGUGUAGUCGACAGCAUCCCGCGCGGGUGGUCGUCUCGGAUCGAAGAGAGGAGAGACGAGACAAGGACCCGGGAAAAAAGCCGGCUGCUGCUAUUUGUAUAUUUUCUUAUAUUUAACUCUUUUCUAACGAAAACAAAAAAAAAAAUAGGAUCAAGUUUUUUCAAAUUUUUCCUCUCGUUGUUCACAAUUUCACACUUAUUAAACGCCGACCAAUUCUUCCCUCUUUUAAUCUUGUUUUUCAUCGACGUAUUGUAUAUAUAUCUUUGUUUUACCUGUUUUGUCACGAAAAAAUUCGGGGGUUUUAAAAGAUGCUCAUAAAAUUGGACUAGCCACUACCACCACCAUUAUCAGCAUCUCACACCAUCGCACUAUUACCACUAUCUUCAUCAUCAUCAUCCCAUUGCGAUCGUGAUUCUUUAUAAAUAGAGAAAGGAAAAAAGGAAGAAGGUAGGGGCGGAAGAGGGAGGAUGAUUUUAAAAAGGAAGAACGCGCUAGCGGAAGAGAUUUGAGCGUGGCGGCGGUUCCGAGAAUACACGGAAGCGAGAAAGAAAAAGAAAAAGAGGAAAGAAGAAAAGGAAGAGGUGGUGGUAAUGGUGGUAAAGGAGGAGGAGGGAAAGAAGGAGGAGAAGGAGUAAAGAAAGAAGAGAGGAAGGAGGAGAAGGAAGAGGAAGAGGAGGUAUCAGUUACUCUGGCGUCUCGUUCAUCUCGUCCAGUUCGGUUCACGUUCGUGUUCUGUCGCGUGCAAAAGAAGACACAUAUUAUAUAUACUAUAUAUAAAUAUACAUAGAUUUGUUUUCGUUAACAUUCGAAUAAUCUAUGAAGACGCCCUUCAUAAACUCGUGUGGCUACCCUCCGCGACCGCACCUGUCUCGGUCGCACGCGCAUCUUUUCUAACACAACACACGACACAACCAACAGCUACCAACCAACAAUCCAACGACGAUUGAAAACCAAAAAAAGAGUUAAAAGAAUAAUAAUAAUAAGAAUAAGAAAAUAGAAAAAGAUAGAAACCACCAAUAGGAGAAACAAAACAACAGCAGCAGUAGCAGCAAUAGUACCAACCAAUAUCAGUAUCAGUACCAGAACCAGAACCAGCACCAAACUACGAAGAAUUUCCUUGACGAUGUCUCGUUGGGAACCCGCGAAGUGUGUCGUUGCUAUUUUAAAGUACAUGCACACACACACGCACAUACGCGACGCACGCAGAUGCAUACAGGAAGGGCAAGUUAUUUCGUGCUCGUCUCGUUACUUAACACAUUUCAUUAGAUCAUUAAAAUUCCCUAGUGAGAAUAUUCUUAUGCGAAAUUACCAUUUUUUGCUGCUGCUACAAACUGCCUGAAAGGGGAUCGCGGAUUUUCUUCUUAAGGAUUAUUUAACAACAACAAAAUAAUAAAAACGAGAACAUUCCAAGUACUUGCGGGACGUUAUAAAUAUAGAGUUACCAAUAUGCGCUCGUUGUGUCUAGAUUGUCUUUUGCCGUGUUACUUGUCACGGAGAGAAGUAUCGACCCAUCUCUCGAAAUAUAAAACGGAAUAUCGAGUAGCCCGGAGAUAAGAAAGAAAGCGUUCUUUCCUUCCUUUUCUUCCUAUUCUUUUCUGUUACACAGGACAACGUAAAGAAAAAAGAGGAACUUAUUUUAUUUUUAUUUUUUUUUUAUUUUUUUUUUUCGAAAUAAAUCCUAUCGAAUAAUUAUAUUCGCGAUUUAUUUUGCACCUAUAUAAUACAUGAUAUAAAAAAAAGAUAUCGAACGAUUAGUAUCGAAAAGAAAAUAAUAUUAUAUUUCAAUACGAAUUAAUGAAACAUUUCUUCAACCCUUUAUCUUUUAGCCAUGACAUUUUCUCAUUCAUUCGAAUCUCUUUCUUCAAACUCGAGUACGACAAGUGUACGAUGAUAACCAUCUUCUUUUGCUCUCUUUCCCUUUCUCACUCACUCUCUUAGAGUAAUUUAAUUAAACCAUCGAGCUCUCUUCAGGGACCACUCCCACUAAUUACGAUCUUUCGAUCUCGCAGACGACGCAUUAAAUGACGAGACAGAGAAAAAAAAAAUAAAUGAGAGAAGAAUGAGAACUAUGU
rnacentral:lncRNA from 1 species